rnacentral:rRNA from 1 species
GUCUUUUUGAGUUGGUUUAAAAGUCUAACCUGCCCACUGAUGGGUUGAAUGGCCGCAGUAUUUUAACUGUGCAAAGGUAGCAUAAUCAUUAGUCUUUUAAUUGAAGGCUGGAAUGAAUGGUUGGACGAGGUAUAAACUGUUUCAUAUAUAUUUAUAUUAGAAUUUUAUAUUUUAGUUAAAAAGCUAAGAUAUUGUUAAAAGACGAGAAGACCCUAUAAAGCUUUAUAAUUUAUAUAGUUUUAAUUUUUUAGAUUUAUUUUAUUUUUAUUAUAUUAAAUAUUUUAUUGGGGUGAUAUUAAAAUUUAAUGAACUUUUAAUAAUUUUUAAUCAUUGAUUUAUGAAUUAUUGAUCUUCUAUUAGUGAUUAAUAGAUUAAGUUACUUUAGGGAUAACAGCGUAAUUUUUUUGGAGAGUUCAUAUCGAUAAAAAAGAUUGCGACCUCGAUGUUGGAUUAAGAUGUAAAGUUAGGUGUAGCUGCUUAAAUGUUAAGUCUGUUCGACUUUUAAAUUCUU